GAUGAACGCUGGCGGCGUGCCUAAUACAUGCAAGUCGAGCGAACGGACGAGAAGCUUGCUUCUCUGAUGUUAGCGGCGGACGGGUGAGUAACACGUGGAUAACCUACCUAUAAGACUUGGAUAACUUCGGGAAACCGGAGCUAAUACCGGAUGAUAUUUUGAACCGCAUGGUUCAAAAGUUCAAGACGGUCUUGCUGUCACUUAUAGAUGGAUCCGCGCUGCAUUAGCUAGUUGGUAAGGUAACGGCUUACCAAGGCAACGAUGCAUAGCCGACCUGAGAGGGUGAUCGGCCACACUGGAACUGAGACACGGUCCAGACUCCUACGGGAGGCAGCAGUAGGGAACCUUCCGCAAUGGGCGAAAGCCUGACGGAGCAACGCCGCGUGAGUGAUGAAGGUCUUCGGAUCGUAAAACUCUGUUAUUAGGGAAGAACAGAUGUGUAAGUAACUGUGCACAUCUUGACGGUACCUAAUCAGAAAGCCACGGCUAACUACGUG
rnacentral:rRNA from 1 species